UCUUAAGGAUGAGCAAAGAAAAUGAUUUUUUCAGAUGAAAUGUACUCCCAGUGAAGAUGUUGUGAA
rnacentral:pre_miRNA from 2 species